CCCAGCGGUAAGUCAGCUGUGCGGGCCUGUUACCGUGCCUGGACCAGUGUUACACUGCUGGAAGAGAAAGCCAUUGUCAGCAAUGCUCUCUUCAUCUGCUGCUGUUUUAGUAGUGGUUGUGACUGAGCGAUGGCAGUGCGGUGUCCCCUCAGAGAGUGGAGCUACCCUGUGUGCACUGGAGAGUUCCUAGUCUGGGGUCAAACACU